GACCGGAAUCGAACCUGGAACCCUUCAGUCCGCAGGCCGACGCUCUCCACUGAGCCAAACCGGUUAGGGCUACCCUGGACCUUUUAAAUGGACAGUACUCCAGAUAACUAUGACUGUGCAAAUUGUCCCAGAGCUGAGUUCUUGAACAAUAUUCACUCCUAGACAGUGUGAUGGGGUAGGAUUCCUUUUUGUUUUGUUUGUUUUGUUGGUUUUUUUUUGCACAGGACUAAAAGAUUUGGGUUUUUUCUGCGUCCACGAUUAAUACAAAGGUGUUUUUGCCUGGAAUAUAAUAUGAUGGGCAGAAUUAUGGAUAAUCAAAAUUUCACUCAGUGCAAAGACUUUAGGUGGUCAGCACAGUAUAUGAUUGAGGGAGCAGGGCUGAAGGGGAGAGCUGGGGCUGGGGCUAGAUAUAGGGGUUGUGAGAGCAGGGGUGGGGAGGAACUGGGGACUGUGGAGGCAGAGCACCACAAUAUUUAUUAUGUGUGCAUUUAAUACUCCAAGAUAAGUUUGAAUAGAGGAAACAAGUCCACAGCAAUUCAUGUUAUCUGUCUGAUAGGUUAGACAGUCAAUUAGUGCAGCAUUAAAGAUGGGAACAAAGCAAGGCCUGAAGUGGAAUGGACCUUCAAAUAUUUUUUAUAUUCAGUCAUAAAGUUAACUUUUUAAUUAACUGUUUAUGUGCAAGAAGACUUGAAAAAUCCAAACUGAAGUAGUUUAUUAAGUCAAUCUCAAAGUAAAAAAGAUUAAUGAAAAAUGUUAUCGCCAAAUUAUUUGACUUUGGAUAUGAAUAAGUAUGCCAUUUUUAUAAAAAAGAAAUUGAAAACUUUAAGGGCCCCCAAAAGGAGCUUAUUAAAUCUAAUUGAAAUGAAGUCUACAAACAAUGCCAUAAUAGUCAUUUGAGGCUUAAAUAUCACCCUAGCAAACCACAUAAUUGAACUAUUUAUGGCUGACAUCCAAGAAAUAAGUAGAAAUCAAAAUCCAACCCCAGCAUUAGCCACAGGGUAGGUGUUCCUCUUGAAGAAGGGAGGGAUUCCUCUUCUGCCACCUGUUGGCCAAAGAUCCAUUUUGGUCCUUGCCACGACUCACCGCCAUAUUUACACGUGGCAGGCAUGGAGCCCUGGCCUGGCCCACCGGGCGGAGAGCAAAGAGGCAAUGCUGGAGGGGAGGGAGCCGGUUAGAGGGGAGGGAGCUGGAAAGGCCAAAUGUCCUUGGAAAGACCUUGAGCACCGCCAACUGGGAGCAGAUGUUAUGUAAGUGGCCCCUCGGCUUCUGCCUCCUGAAAAGAUGGCAGCCAGGAGCCAUGCUAGAUUGGUCUAAUUCCAUACUCCAUUAAUUGGCUGCCCAAUUGUACCACCCCAUCUGAUUGGAUGGGGCAGGCGGCAAAGAUCACCCCACCUUUCACUUUUUGCAGCAAGCCGGAAGUGUGCGCCAUAUUUAACAAUGCGGCAGCCCCACCAGGAGCAAAGCCCGCGCAAACACCAGGAUGUCCUCAACCACAAGACAAGUCCGCCCUUAUAUGCCCCUGCGGCAAAACCUGUCCGGAAAUGCUUGCUGCGAAGACAACGGCCCGCCAUGACUGGUCCGGCAAUGCCGCAAACACAUAAGUCCGCCAUGUUUAACACUGCGUCAGGUCCUUGAGCCGCCAUCUUACACCAUGUAACAGAAUAUUUCCAACGCCAUGCUGUGCAUUAGAACAAAGACACUACCAUGAUGUGGCCUCCCGCUAAAUUGGACCCGCCAUCUUGGACACUAACAAAGCAGACAGCCAUGCUGAGCAAUACCGAAAGUCAAGCCGCCAUUUUGGCCCCUCCCUGUAAGUCUCCUCGAUCUCAUUUUCAACUAGCCUCCGGUAAUGCGGCACAGGAUAAUCCUAUUCUUCUACCUCAGGAGACCACAAUGCAUGCAAAUUAGGUAAUUCAAAAUACUUAGCUCAGGCAUCUUGCCUCUCUAAUUUAUACCAAGCACAACCAACUACCAUCAGCUGAGCUCCGAAGCAAACCUCGAGUCGUCCCGCCGCCAUAGCCGCCAUUGCCGCCAUUGCCGCCAUAUUUCCUCCCCAGCCGAACGAACCCCUUAGCCUAACUGCAGUCAUCUCCCAGCCAAAGCUGUAGGUUCACUCACACAACACCAAAGAUUAGCAGCAAAAAUUUGUAGACAUUCCAGAUAGUAUAACGAACCACAGAAAACAACAAAAUUUCGAGCGAUUAAAAAAAAAAUCUAAGCAGGUAUCCGCGGCCCCGAUGGGCAAGAAAAAAAUUAAAGCAGGUAUCCGAAGCCCCGAUGGGCAAUAAAAAGAAGAAAAAAAAAAA